AGCAGCUGUCCAGCGUGGUUUCGUUUAAUGUGAGUCUCUCCGCGGCGUUCAAUGACACUGAGCGUAGAGGGUGGAGAGGAUUACAGAGCGCGCAAACGCAGCAGCAGAUGCGCUACAACCGUUGUGUUUUAAGCACAGCCACUGAGCCACUGCCCGCUGUAAGAAUCCAUCUCUGACUGGCUUGUGGUGUCAUCUGCGGAGGAGAAGACAGACAUGAUGAGCUGCAGAACAGACAAGACUUGAGACGACCCCAGGCUUCCUCAGAGCAGGGUCCAGCUCUCUAGUCUGCACACAGAUACAGCCUGAGGAGAAGUCCACACUGCCAGUAUGGUUCAUCUGCCCACUAGCUCUGUCUGAGAGAGGGGGGAGAGAAAAAGAUGGGGGGUUCAGCAAAAGAGAGCAACAUAUAAAAUAUUAUGGGAGAAAUAGAGUGAAAGACCG